rnacentral:rRNA from 1 species
UACGUAGGGUGCAAGCGUUAAUCGGAAUUACUGGGCGUAAAGCGUGCGCAGGCGGUUGGGCCAGACAGAUGGGAAAUCCCCGGGCUUAACCUGGGAAUUGCAUUUGUGACUGCACGGCUAGAGUGUGUCAGAGGGGGGUAGAAUUCCACGUGUAGCAGUGAAAUGCGUAGAUAUGUGGAGGAAUACCGAUGGCGAAGGCAGCCCCCUGGGAUAACACUGACGCUCAUGCACGAAAGCGUGGGGAGCAAACAGG